rnacentral:lncRNA from 1 species
GACAAUUCCAUGGCUUGCUGGACUUCUCUUCCUUGUGCCUACUUAAAGCGUGUGUGGACCACAACACGAUCACUUCGGCGACGUAAGUGUCCUGCCUUUUCUUCUUUCGCUCCAAAGUCUUUCAUAACGACGCUUGGAUUUAAUCAGGUCUUGGAGUAUAUUGUCAAAUGUGAGUUUCUUUUAUGAUCUUGGCAGCAGCCAAACCCGGAAGAUAUAUUCGACCCAAAAAUUCCAAGUGAAAGGUUUGAUGCAAGUUCCACGUUGUUUUCGCUGGAUGGUAAGCUAACAUUUUCCAGACGUUUCAGCAACGCCAGCACUGUCCUGUUUCGCGUAUCGGUUUUGGCUAGCAUUUAUACUCGACUUUCCCGCGAUAGAAAUGGUAAGUCUCUUUUACUCUUGCGUAAGAACAAUUUCUAAGAAGCUCCACCUUGAACCAGGCUUUCACUUCCAACGCACUUCCAACACAAGAACAGGCCAGUCGGAUCCACGCUCUCCUUGAUGGCCUUGAGCGUCGAGUACUUCUCACCAAAGAACGACUCCUCCCAGUAUGGCUCGAAGUAAUCUCCUUCGUUCUUGUAACACCCUCCGCCAGGCGUGAUGCUUCGAAACAGACCAUUCGUGGAGGUGAGACUUCGAGAAAACUGAUAUCGCUCCUCCACACUCGUGCUCUCGUUCCAGGUCCUAACGAUAAGUACAUGCCACAGAGCCUCCCUCCAGACGGCACUCAGGGCAUUGUUCCUGCCUUGGACGCUCGAUGCUGCGCCUCCAAACACAAACAAGCCGAAGAUGGGAC